GCGGGGCUGCGGGGCGCGUUAGGAGUUCAUAUUCCCCGGGGCCUUAUCGAUCCUGAAGGGAGCUGUCCCUGACCCGGUCCCUGGACCGGGACAUACGGCGCCCACCUACUUUGUAGGUUCCCGGGAUCGCUUCUCCGACGGCUUUUCGUGGCUCCGCA
rnacentral:other from 1 species